GACGUAGGGCGCGAGCGUUGUCCGGAUUUAUUGGGCGUAAAGAGCUCGUAGGCGGCUUGUCGCGUCGGACUGUGAAAACCCGCAGCUCAACUGCGGGCCUGCAGUCGAUACGGGCAGGCUAGAGUUCGGUAGGGGAGACUGGAAUUCCUGGUGUAGCGGUGAAAUGCGUAGAUAUCAGGAGGAAUACCGGUGGCGAAAGCGGCCAGCUGGGGCCGUUGCUGACGCUGGAGGC
rnacentral:rRNA from 1 species